rnacentral:rRNA from 1 species
CAAUAGCGUAUAUUUAAGUUGCUGCAGUUAAAAAGCUCGUAGUUGGAUUUCGGGUGGGAAUGGCCGGUCCGCCGUUUCGGUGUGCACUUGCUACGCCCACCUUGCUGCCGGGGACGUGCUCUUGAGUUCACGCUCGGGACACGGAGUCGGCGAGGUUACUUUGAGUAAAUUAGAGUGUUCAAAGCAGGCCUACGCUCUGAAUACAUUAGCAUGGAAUAACACGAUAGGACUCUGGCCUAUCUUGUUGGUCUGUAGGACCGGAGUAAUGAUUAAGAGGGACAGUCGGGGGCAUUCGUAUUUCAUUGUCAGAGGUGAAAUUCUUGGAUUUAUGAAAGACGAACUACUGCGACAGCAUUUGCCAAGGAUGUUUUCAUUAA